GAGUGGACGAGUCGGCCGGGGUGUGUGUGUCUGUGUGCUGUCCCGACGUGUAGCAGCUGGCUAACAACUAGCAACUAAAAUAUGUAAAGAGUAAGAUAAAGUACAUGCAGAAGCCUGACACGCUUACAGAGAGUGUGUUAAACUGCUCUGAUACGAGUUUGCGUAUGUACAGUGUGGCUGAGAGCUAACGUUCGUUGUAACGGUUGGCUACUAGCAGUUAGCAUGCUAAUGUCCUGCUAGUGCUUCAUGUUCGGACUGUUGGCCGACUCGGAGCUCCGGACAUCGCGCCCUGUGACUGACCGGCUGCCCCGCUGUCUGCCUGGAGGGAGACCCGCCAUUUCCCUCCUGCCCUUGGACUUUUAUUGUUUCACUGUCCCUGAGACAGAGUUUGGACCAUCUUUCUUCAUUUACUGGUCGUGUCAGUGAGGAGACUGUUGAACUGAUCAACCUGGCUACGGGGGCCCUUUUCUUAUGAGAACCCUAGAUCUCCGUCGCAGCUUUACAAUGGCUCAAUAUUGUAUCAUCUAUCACUCUGCAUAGAGCUGCGGGCCGCAUCAGCCUCAGCGGACAGGAAACAAGAUUUAUUACAGACGAUGACGCCCUGCAUGUGUGGUGGGAGGAGAGACAAAAGGAAAUGGAGAUGCAGUUGGACAAAAAUGAAGACUCAAAUGUGUCAGACAGACAGAGAGAGUGAGAGAGGAAGAGGAAGAGGAAGAGGGGGCAAUGACGGAGACUGGUCAUCAGAAGGAGUGAAAAAGGACAGAAGAGCAGAGGGAGGAGAGAGGAGGAGAGUGAUGCUGAGGAGAGAUUUUGUUGGGAGAUGCCACCACAGUAAUGACAACUUGUGUACUUCGCCGGUUUCAAGUGUGAACGUGCCCUCCCUGGACCCUGCUCACAUAUCCAGUGACAUCGUUGGAGCUUGUUAGUCCACUGCAGGUUACACGGCUGACACAAAAUCAAAAUGUUUUGGCUUAUUAAUCAGUGCAGAGUUUCAGACUUUGAAACUGAAUUCAGGUCAAUAUGAAGCCAAAACUUUCACUAGUACCUGUGUGAUCGCCUUCAUUAAAAAGUCUUCUUUCCAGCAAACUGGACAAGAAGAACAUCGGUACUUAUUUACUAAUGUUCCUGGAAGGUACUUUCUGUUUGCGUCCCAUUCAAAAAAAGGCAGUAAACCUGAAAACCAGUCACAACUUUCCUGUUCAAAACUUUGGAACUGUGUAAAACCUCUGAAGUAUCUGCAGACCGCACUUUUUCAUUUGCAUCCUUUCCUUCAGUGUGUUAAAGGCUCUGGUACAUUUAAACGUUUUAAAAGUUGAAAAGGGUAAAAGUCUGCACCAAUAGAAGCUUUUCUCUCCCACAGAAAACACUGCUCUUGAACGCCACGUCAGUUGUCCCGCCUUUAAUUCUAUGACUCUGACGUCACACAUUGUCAUAUAUUUGCAUGAUUUAUGUCUAGCAGCUUGUUUGGUGCAUUAGAAAUGAUUCAGCACAGCUGCUGUGUUGUUGUUAGCGGUGCUGGGUCAGGCGUGUGUGAGCUGACCAAUCAGAGCCGACCAGGUAUUCAAAAGGAGGAGGGGCCUUAAAGAGACAGGAGCUGAAACAUGACGUGUUCUCUGAGCAUUAAAUGAAACCUUCUAGUAGUAACCCAAAAUAAAAUUAUGAACCUGAAAAUUAAG